UCUGGUUGAUCCUGCCGGAGGCCACUGCUAUCAGAGUUCGACUAAGCCAUGCUAGUCAGAGAGUAAUCUCGGCACAAGGCUGAGUAACAUGUGGAUAAACUGCCCUUAGGAGGGGAAUAACCCCGGGAAACUGGGAAUAAUGCCCCAUAGGCAAUGGAUGUUGGAAUGCCCCAUUGCUGAAUCUUUCCUAAGGAUGUGUCCGCACCCUAUCAGGCUGUUGGUGGGGUAAUGGCCCACCAAACCUAAGACGGGUAGGGGCUAUGUGAGUAGGAGCCCCCAGAUGGGUACUGAGACAAGGACCCAGGUCCUACGGGGCGCAGCAGGCGCGAAAACUCCGCAAUGCCAGAAAUGGUGACGGGGGGACUCUGAGUGCUCCACUAUUUUGUGGAGCUUUUCGCUAUUGCAAAUAGAUAGCGGAAUAAAGGCCGGGUAAGGCUGGUGCCAGCCGCCGCGGUAAUACCAGCGGCCUAAGUGGUGGUCGGUUUUAUUGGGCCUAAAGCGUUCGUAGCCGGAACCUCAAGUCUUCGGGUAAAUCUAGCAGCUCAACUGUUAGAAUUCCGGAGAUACUGUCGUUCUUGAGACCGGGGGAAGGUGCAGGUACUUCUGGUGUAGGGGUGAAAUCCUCUGAUCCCAGAAGGACCACCUGUGGUGAAGACGUGCACCUAAAACGGCUCUGACGGUGAGGGACGAAGCCUAGGGGAGCAAACGGGAUUAGAUACCCCGGUAGUCCUAGGUGUAAACAAUGUUCGCUUGGUGUUGCAUACGCUACGUGCGUGUGCAGUGUCGGAGUGAAGACGUUAAGCGAACCGCCUGGGGAGUACGACCGCAAGGUUGAAACUUAAAGGAAUUGACGGGGGAGCACCACAAGGGGUGGAGGCUGCGGUUUAAUUGGAUUCAACGCCGGGAAGGGACGA
rnacentral:rRNA from 1 species